rnacentral:lncRNA from 1 species
CUUUUUGGAGAGCUCCCUUUUGCCCUACCCUUUUGAUUGCGCUCUGUCUCUCUCCCCCAUCUCUCCACCUCCUCUCUCCUUUCUCCCUCCCUCUCUCCCUCUCUCUCUUUCCUUUUUUCUUUCUUUCUUUCUUUUCUCUCUCUCUCUCCCUCCUUUCUUUCUUUCUUUCUUUCUUUCUUUCUUUCUUUCUUUCUUUCUUUCUUUCUUUCCAUUCUUUCCAUUCUUUCUUUUCUUCCUUCCUUUCCUUUUGUGGAAAAAGUAGCCGUUCUUUAUAAGAAUAAAAUCACAUCCUUUGCCUUUUCACUUUCUCCCUCCAUCUUCCUCCCUCUCUCUUGUACCCUCAGAUCGCCACGCUUUGGACCUCCCACGAAUGGUUUGAACCUGAGGCAUGAAUUGAGCUUGACUCCCUUGAGGGAGAGUUGCGAGAGGCACUCAUUUCCCAGAAGACAGAAAGCCCCAA